CAAAAUAUCAUAUAGCUGCAUAUUUCAAUGGGUAUGUUAAUUUCUAUCCUGAAAAUCUCCUGUAAAGAAGAAAAUGAUUCUUGUAGAAUUCUAAAACAAACGUCAUAUCCUGAAGCAAAAUUGGAACGCUUGUUCAGAGUGGACUAUAUCUUUGUUAUACCAUUGUUAAUUUGACCGCUUUGCUUCCUCCGUAGCACCACCAAAUGUUGACCACCUCCUCAUCUGAUGGUUGUGUACAAGUUCACAAGCUGAGCUCAGGGGAGCCCAUUCCUGUUUCAUCCUUGAACGUUCAUAAUAAUGAGGCCUGGAUCACAGUUUCAAUUACUGAGACACCAAUGUUGUCUGCACAGGUUUGAUGUUAACUAAUGGGCUAGAAUAUGAAAAAGUCUUCUUCACCAAUACUCUUCAGUAAAAGCGUCUUAGUCUGUGAUGUUGAGCAAGAGGAUCGGAAAGGCUACAUCCACUCUCGCUCGACUUUCAAAAAGAGUUUGGACAAAGCCCACACUAAAAACUAGUACCAAAAUGGCAGUAUACAACGCCUGCAUAAUCAGCACCUUGCUGUACGGUAGCGAUGUCUGCGCCGCAUCCUAGGCAUUUCAUGGCAGGACAAGGUGCCUAACACAGAAGUCCUGUCUCGGGCGAACCUUCCAAGAAUGUUCACUAUGCUUCGACAGCGCACGUUAUGCUGGCUCCGGCAUGUGCAUCGAAUGGAUGACGGACGUAUUCCCAAGGACAUCUUGUAUGGAGAAUUGAGAACUGGGAAACUAAGCACUGGGCACCCACAACUUCGAUUCAAGGAUGUCGUAAAAAGAGACAUGAAGGCCCUUGAUAUUGACGUGCGAUCUUGGGAAGACCUAGCAGCAGAUCGACCCAGAUGGAGGUCCACACUACUUAGACAGAUCAAGUCAGGGGAAAAAAAGUUUGUGCAUGCAGCAGAAAACGCGGACAACGAAAGCAGCGCUUAACCCCAAAAGAUCAGAAACCAUUUACAUAUGUGACUCUUGCGGAAAAGAACGUCUCUCCCGUAUAGGACUUUUCAGCCACAAACGUUGCUGUCAGAGAAAGACAAAAUAGGAUACAAUAUCCCAUGGUCGUCUGCGACCGAUGGAGGCCUACUAAGUCUGUAAUAACGAUUCAAAUUAAAUUUGUAAUGUAUCGUUUAAUAAUUUCAUCAAUAACGCAAAAGACGUAUUCUUUGCUGUUGUAAGCGGGGCUUGCAUACAUGUACUUAUAUAAAAUGAAAAUAGCGUAAAAAUGUCAAUGUGGUAUAAUAUUUGAUCGUACAAUUGCCAAAAAUCAUUUAAAUACACGAAUAAUUAAUAAAGAAUCAUUCUUUGAGUAUUGUGAGGCAUUAAGGAUGUGGCGUGAUCCAAUCUAUCAUAUAGCCCUUCGAGCCAUAAUUGUGAUUGUGUUAAAUUUUCUACAUAUUAUUUUUGGCAUUUUUUAUUUCAGCUGUAUAAAUUUACUUUUAUCAUUACAAUGAUAAAAUCAUUUAUAUUAAACUGUUAUACGUGUUAUCCCUUAAAAUUAAAAAUACCAAAGGGUCAGUUUUAUAUUUAAUUCUGGUUGUUGAUUGGCUGGGAGAAUUUUCCCGCGGUGCAUAGCAGGUAGUUUUCUUUCGAACUCAGGAGAGUUGGACAUUAUAUGUCUGAGAUAUACAAC